rnacentral:lncRNA from 1 species
GGCUUCUAAUGACACCUGAGGCCAAAGCUGCUCACAGCAGCAGGUGAGUGGUGGGCAUUUCUUUAGCAACUGUGGGAGGGGGCCAGGAGGCAGAUGGUGUCUGCUUGAGUCCAGUCCCAGGAAACAUGGGCAGGGAUCUCAACUAAAGAGGGAAGAGAGCACUAGCAUUUACUGAGUGCCUUCCAGGUACCAGGCAUCCCAGAAGCAUAAAAUCAUCUAAUCUUUGUAACUGCAAGCAUUUGUUGAGCAUCUACUAUGUGCCAGGCACCAAUUUAGCCCCUAGAGAUUCAGUGGUAAACAAAACAAAACUCCUGUUCCUCACACACAAAUAAACAUUUGACCUAUUUCCAGUGAUAAAUACUUAUUGCCAUUAAGUACCACAAAGAAAAAUAGGAGAAAGAACAGAAGAGGUGUCCAGGAAAGGCUUCUUGAAGGAGAUGACAUCUGAAGAGAGAGCUGAAUCUACCAGAGAGAGCCUUGUAACAUUUAGCGAGGGGUGUUUGUCCCCACUAUCUGAAGGGGAAACUCAGAGAAGAGCUGUGGCUUUCCCGAGACUACCAAGCUCCUGAGACUUCUGCAGAUCCUGGGCUCAGGGGACCUACCCAGAGACAGCACCUGACCGUGGCCCCUCGGUUAACCCCCAGGACCCCUCACAGAUCCUCAGCCCACCAGCUCCCUCACUUUGUUCUCCCCUCUCCCUUCUCUUCCUUCCUUCUCUUCUUUUUCUCCCUCCUCCUGCCUCCUCUCCCUUUCCUUCUCCUCUUUCUCCUUCUUAUAAACAAAUACUCAGCAGGAAGAUGUAGUAUAUGCCCCAAGUCACAGCUCCCCAGGAGGCUGCGGCAGGAGGAUCAUUUGAGCCCAGAAGUUUGAGACCAGUCUGGGCAACUUAACUAGACCCCAUCUCAAAGAAAAAUAAAUACAUAAUGAACAUGCCUAACACAUAAAGGUCCAGUUUAAUAAUUAUAGGAACUCCUGAGUGACCAGCACUGAGGUGACUAGCACCAGGAGUACUGCCACCCCCCCCCAGGUGAUUUCAUAUGUCUCCUCCCAUCUUCUUAUCUUUAUGGUCGCCUCUUCCUUGCUUUUAGCACAUUGCCAUCAACAUAUGUGUCCUGCCAACCUAAAUAAUAAGAAUCUCCAAAGAUUAAAUUCAUUCAGGGAAGAUGCCAUAGUAAACUGUGUGUAUUCAAAAGGCAGAGCCAGAGAAUGUUCUUAAAGGUGAAAUAAAGAUGAUAACAAAAGAGAUUCUGAAACCACAAUCUUUGGCCACAAGAUUUAAGAUCAGGUUUGUUCAAGGACUCACAACAAGGGUAGCAGCAGUGCAGGGAUAAACAGACGUUGUUGGACAGACGUUCUUGCAGAAGUAUUCUUUGUAUAGGAUUGUGACAGUCUUUGUGCAAGGUUGUAGUUCCAGCCAAGUCUUUUGUGAUAAUUCUUGUUAUCAGACAUAUGCAGAAGAUACCCUCCAUUUUAACAAAAGGGACUCCAUUUUGAUCCUGACAACUUUCAUAAUCCAAUAGCAAUAGCAUUCAGUAUUGCCUCAUUUUGCACUUUAAACAAUAUAAUUUUCUAUCUAUUAUUUACAUGUUGACUUUUUAAAAGUGCUUUACUGGAGAUUAAUCCCAGGGGUGCUCUACCACUCUGUUAUAUCCCCCACCCCUUUUAAUUUUUUGAGACAGGGUCUUGAUAAGUUGCUAAGGCUGGCCUCAGACCUGCAAUUUUUCUUUUUCUUUUUUUUUUUUUUUAAUUUAUUUUGGUAACUCAUAGUGUACUUAUAAAAUGAAAAGCUGUAUUGAAAUACACUUUUCACUGGGAAAAAUAAAUAAAAACGAAUGGGUCUACACAAAGCAAAUAUUAGCUUUGGUAGACUUUAAUGUAGGACAAUCUAUAACAAGCACAUUUGCCCUAUUCCCCCACGAGUUGCUCAACUUCCAAGUUAAGCAUUUUUUAAAUGUUUUAACUGAGAUUUUAUUAUGUUGACAUGUGUUUCGCAUUCCACAUCAUCUUCAGCCAAGCUCUGAGCACUUAAAAUUCUCUGGCUAAUUUUUGGGAGCUUAGUCAGAAGCAUCUGGGACAUUGGUGGUGGACAAGUUGGCUGUAACACUUGCAGCAACUGCUGUGGCUAUCCAGACACAGCAAUGGCGUUUGUCAGGUGGUCCCCGCCUUUCUCCUAUUCACUUUGACCUAGCAGCUCUCCACCAAGUUGUAUUUCUUCAAGGAAGAACUUCUCAACAGCUUCAGCAUCUUUAAGGUCUGGCAACCUGGAAAGCCCAGCCCAGCUCUCUCCUUGGAAAGCUUCUAUAUCUGACUUUUUGUUUUUCUGGGAUUACAGUGGCCACUGGGCCGGCUAGCUUCUGUUUCUGUCUUCAUUCCAAGGCCUUGAAGUUGGGGUCACUCCGACUCUUGUGCUCAAAGUAGAUGCAGUAGCCAAUGAAGAGCACUCCGACACAGGCGAGGGCGAUGGCGCUGUUCAGGCCCACCACCAGGGGCACUCAAGCAAGCCUCGCCACCAGCAAUCCUUUUUAAAUUUCAUUAUUUGUUCUUUUUAGUUAUACAUGAUGGUAGAAUGUAUUUUGACAUAUCAUGCACGCAUGGAGCAUAAUUUCCCAUUCUUGUUGGUGUACAUGAUGUGGAGUUACACUGGUCACGCUAUUCAUAUAUGAACAUAGGAAAGUUAUCUCUCAUUCAUUCUACUGUCUUUUCUAUUCCCAUCCCCCCUCCCUUCCCUUCAUUCCCCUUUGUCUAAUCCAAUGAACCUCUAUUCUCCCCUCCCUUAUUGUGAUAUCACAGAGAACAUUCAGCUUUUGGUUUUUUGAGAUUGGCUUAUUUCACUCAGCAUGAUAGUCUCCAGUUCCAUCCAUUUACCAGCAAAUGUCAUGAUUUCAUUCUCCUUUAUGGCUGAGUAAUAUUCCACUGUGUAUAUAUACCACAUUUUCUUUAUCCAUUCAUCUAUUGAAGGGCAUCUAGGUUGGUUCCAUAGCUUAGCUAUUGUAAACUAAGCUGCUAUAAACAUUGAUGUGGUCACAUCACUAUAGUAUACUGAUUUAAGUCCUUUGGGUAUAUGCCAAAGCGUGGGAUAACUGGGUCAAAUGGUGCUUGUAUUCCAAGUUUUCUGAGGAAUCUCUACACUGCUUUCCAGAGUGGUUGCACCAAUUUGCAGACCCAACGGCAAUGUAUGAGUGUAGCUUUUCCCCCACAUCCUUGCCAACAUUUAUUGUUACUUGUAUUCUUUUUUUUAAUAUUUAUUUUUUAGGUGUAGUUGGGACUUCAACAUAUGAAUUAGAGGGUGAGGGUGAGGGUGAAGGACACCCUCAGUCCAGAACACUGGUUCUAACUUAGUGUCUUCAUUUUCAUCACUGCAUGGGAUUCUGUUGCAUGAAUAUGCCACAAUGUAGGGAACCAUUUUUCUGGUCAUGGGCAUUUGAUUUAUUUCUAGUUUGGGGCGUUACAAGCAAAGCUCCUUAAAAGUUCUUUUGCCUGUGACUUAAUGCUCAUGUGCAUGAGUUUCUCUAGAGUUUAUAACUAGAAAUGAAAGAACUGAGUCAUAGAUGUGUUUAUCCUCAACUUUAGAAGAUAUGCAAACAGUUUUCCCAAGCAGCCCAGCCAUCUCCCCUCUCCAGCCACAUUCCCAUACCCUACUACCUCCUCACCGGCACUUGCUGUCCCCAGACUUCUCCAUGUGAACUGUGAGGCAAUUUAUUUUGCACUUCUCUGAUGACUGCUGAGGUUAAGAGUUCAUUUUACACUUGAAAUGGAUUCCUAACCUCAGAAUUUGAAGCUCCUGUUUUGCAAAGUGCCUGUUCAAAUCUUUUGGCCAUUUUUCAAUCAAGUAGUCUUUUUUAUCAGUUAGUCCCUUCACUUUCUAUGCUCUUGGUAGCUGUAUUUUAAGGACAUAAUGAAAAUUCCUACCACUCUACCUUGGUCAGAACCAUCUGAUCCAUGCUGAGACAUUUUAAUAAACCGAAUCUCAGAGAGCAAGGGUUGGAGGUUUCAUUCCUUCCUUCUUGGAAGCCCCUGGGCUUCUUGUGCAAGCAUUUCAGCUUCCCCGCCCCCGCCCCACUGCCCCACCAACUCCCAGCCUCCACAUGUGGAUAGCACUUCCCCUGACCUGCAGCUGCUCCACCCUCACACGAUAUAAUCAAGAUUUAAAUGGAAUCCUGUGUAAAAUGUCCAGCAUGGUCCCGGGAAGAUUUUCCCUCUCCUUUCUUGGUGCUCUGCAGAAGGGAGGAAGAAGAACAGCUAAAAGGGACCUAUCUGGAGUGGUAGGUGGUAGGCCAAGUCACAGCUUUUAUUCAGGACAGUAACGUGGUCCCUUGCCUUUUCACCUUCCUCCUUCCCAAUGGCUGGAGUCCAGCAACCAUUGGACGGAGUUGUUACCCUGAAGGGUACUAGAAUCUGGCUACUAAUGCAAAAGAUAAUUGGUUUCAUGCAAACAAGAAAUACACCUCCAUCAUCUUAGAGCCACUGUUAUUUGGAUUCCUUUUAUAUGUGACAGGAUCUAAUCUUUAACUUAUAGAAAAAACAUGUCUUCAGUUAAUUAUAAGCGAUGUGUGUGCUUGCACUAAGUUUUUUUUUGCCUCUAUUAAGGUCAUCUUUGCUGUUCAGUAAAAGAUAAUAUAUUUAAAUCUCUGCACUACAAUUUGUAUUUUUCAAACAGCCCAGUGGAUCAAUAUUUUCAUCCUGGUGUGAGUAAUUGAGACGUUGGGAUCUUAGUAGCUAAGAAAUUAGUAUUCCUUAUGAUUAGUAGAUUGUAAGGGUGAUUAGAAAUUAGUAUUCCUUGUUCUUUGAGAGAGACUGUCUAAUAUAUGAGAGCUACACAAAGGUAUAUGUCAGGAUACUCAGGAGGAGAUGAAUUCACUCUUUCUGAAUUAAUGAGUACUCCGAGAGCAUUCCCUAUGUAACCUGGCCAGCCUGCAUGUCCUUUUCAAAGUGAAACUGCCAAGUUACAGUCCCUACCCUCCAUGACUGGAAUAUGAUAAACAUACAGGUAGGUCAUUGUCAGCAGGUUGAGGUGUCUGGUCAAUCAUUAUUAAAACAGGAAGUGGUGCACACUCACACCCAUGCGCGCACACACACACACAUACACACAGAGUGAGAAAACCGAAGAGUUUAUCACCACAUCACUACAAGGUGAUGUGGGUGAGCACUUAAGGCCUUAGAUGAUUCACUUAAUCUUUCUAGAGACCCUUGGUUUCGUCAUUUGAAAGUGGUAGUAGGAACACAGAUAGACUGAUGAUUAAGUGAGAAGGUACAUAUAGAAUGGCUAGCACAGAGAAUGUACUCAGUAAUUGUUAAAUAAGGUAGGUUUACUUUUAUUUUCAGCUUGCCACAGGCUGACUUGAGGCAAAGACAACCAAUCUGUCACUCCAGCAGAAGGCUUUCCUCCAUGCUGCCUGAAUCAUCCCCCAGUCAGGCCCCAGAGGCAAAGCAAGGUGAAGCCCUAAUCCUGUCACUUCCCUGGUGGGGGCAUGCCCCAGGGCCCCUCAUCUCCCCCAGGCAACGUGCGCCACAUCACCAAAGCCCAGAAGAGCUACUGCAUGUAAAUAUGGAUUAAGUUUCAGUUUUUAUUUAAAGAUCCUCAUUUCUGGACAUUUAUUUGGGGAAUUACAGUGGUGGCUUAAGCUACUUGAAGACAUUACAAGUUGAAGUCUUUCCUUCACUUGGCUGCUAAAGUUUAAUUCAGUCUAAUUAUUUCAUAUGGCAUUGACUAUAAUAGUUUCAUAAUUUCUAGUAUAUUAAGCACUUAAUAUGUUGUGUCAUUUGAAAUCACAUAUUAAAUUCAGCAAAGUACAUUUUAAUGAGAGCUAAGUGGUGUGAAAAUAUUAAUACAACGUGACGGUUCAUCCUGUGCUCUGACUUUGUGGGUCUGUUCCUGAUGUGCAAAUGCCUCCCUCCCCAGGUAGGGCGAGCAAUUAGUCUGCGAGGCUGCCAGGGGAGUCUGACCCGACCACAUUCCUAUCUGUGAUCUCCCAGGGAUCUCCAGUGGGAUUGCUCAUGGGGCCUCACAGCCCUGUAAAGCCAGUGGGGAAAUCAUCACUUCCAUUUUAGAGAUGACGAGACUGAGGCCCAGCGACUAAAAGAGACUCGCUUCAGUGCCCCAGCCAGUUGGUGGAGUCACUGGCUCGUAAACAGGGACUCUCCUGGCUGAAAGCCACUGCAGUUUGCCCUGCACCAUGGCUGUCCUCAGGUGUAGCCUUGGGAGUGAAUGAUGUUAGGGGAACCCCAGGCAGGGAGGACGUGGAAGAGGGGGUCAUUCUUUUCCUCCCACCCUGCAAAGCCACACAGACACAAAAGCCAGAGAGCAGCUGGCCGGCUGCACUCAGACUUGGUCAUUCCUCUUCCUGUGCCCAUCAGAGUAUACCACCCCCAGCUCUAGGCAUCUCAGGCUCUUCCACCACCCUGGGGAGGCCAGAGGCAAGGGUCCCAAGGAACUAAACCACAAUGAGUCCUUAAGAGAGCAACAGCUCAAUACAAUGACGCAUCAUAGCAAGGUUCUUAGGGGAGAGGGUCCCAGAAUCCCUCAUGCUGUACUCUUACUCUGUCUGGGUAGAAAGUUAGCCUUCAGAGUCAGAGUGGGCUGGGAGUAAAAGUUCCUCACUGACUAGCUGUGUCCUUAGGCAGGUCACAUAAACUCUAGGCCCAAGCUUUCCCCAUCAAUAAGACAAUAAGAAACCCCCUUGUGCUUACCUUCAGAGAUGUUCAAAUGAAACAGGACACUGGAGGAAGCCCUUAAAGGGCAAGGAAUCCCACCAGGAAUUAACAGGAAGCAGUGAGUCACUGUGCUGUCCUUUCCUAGCAAGAUCACUGCAUCUUAACCUGAGCCUUCAGUAACUCUCACCCAAGACCUAAAAGACAUCUAGGUUAAAACAAUUCCCAGAGAGUUAAGAAAAGGAGCCAAAAUUGGGGAAUCCUCCCCACUUCAUUGUUACCACUUUUAAAAACAAUUUGUGUCAUCUACAUAGUUGCAAAAUUUAGGAAAGUAGAAGACAGGAGAGUGAGGAUGUGAUUAUGUUUUGAGUAUUUUUAUACCCAUCCUGUACUUCCCAGGUGCCCAGGGACUGUUCUGAACACUUGGUGUGAUCAGCUCAUCUAAUGCACUAGAGCCUUUCACAUCUAAUCUGCACCUGAUCUUCCAACCAACCUGCAAAGCAGGCAGCAGGGUCACAUCCUAGAGGCGAGGAAACUCAGAUGGUCAAGAGGUUCCAGGAAUUAAUAUGAGAUCUGGGGACAGUAAAAGCUGUGCUGCCUCCCUCCAAAUCCAAAUCCUUGGAAAGAGCCAAGAUUAGAGUGCUCACCACAACAGGGACCAAGCCAGCCAGCCGCAACUCCAGGCAGCUGCCUCAGAGGCUGGAGGAGAACCUCCAAAAAGUCCUCACAUGGCUGACUCUCCUCCUAUCUCACGUCACCCUCUGAGCUUGGGCAUACUGCCCUCUUUCCAUGCCCCACUCUUCCCAGGCUCAUUUUGUAAAAAACUCAUUCACUUGGAGGUGAAUUAGUGGGAGAGUAUGCUUCAAAAGAGAAGUAUCAAGGGCUAGGGCUGUAAGCUCACUGAUCUUCCAGAUCUUCUAGAGCGCUUGCCUAGCACAUGUGGGGCACUGGGUUUGAUCCUUAGCACCACACUCAAAAUAAAUAUACAAUUGCCAGACAUGGUGGUGCACACCUGUAAUCACAGCAGCUCAGGAGGCUGAGGCAGGAGGAUCGCAAGUUCAAAGCCAGCCUCAACAAUGGCAAGCCACUGUGCAUCUCAGUGAGACCCUCUAAAUAAAAUACAAAAUAGGGCUGGGGAAUGUGGCUCAGUUGUCAAGUGCCCCUGAGUUCAAUUCCUGGUACCCCAAAAAGAAAAAAUAAGUAAACAAAAAUAAAAGUUCUUUUUUAAAAAAAAAAAGACUCAUCAUGGAGCAAGAAUUAACCCUGCAUAGGAGCUGCUCAAAGGCUUUUCAGCAGUCUGGGUGGCAGAUCCUCCCCUGCUUCAAACCCCUCUAGUUGGCCACACUCUGUGUUGGAGCCUUUGGAGCUUCUAGGGUCAGGCCUAUGAAGUUAGCACACCAGUCCAGGGCAACACCUCCCCACAGUAAUGCCACUCAUCCCAGGGUGCCACAGUCAGAGAAGGUAUGGCAGCUCCUCUCUGCACCCUGAUGCUUCCCCUCUCCUGGAGCCAGUGCUGUUCCAGGCCCUGCCCUCCAGAUGAAAUGAGAUACGAAACAUAAAAUGUUCUAUGACCAUAGGGGAAACACUCUAAUUUUAGAGAAUCCUAGGAUCUUGUAACUGUACCGACAUUUCCUCAUAUGAAUGAGUCCAUUUCUUCAUUGUUAAAAAUCAAAUAAAAGCUGGCUAUAAUGUCUCCCUCUCAGGGUGGUGGAAAGUAACACCUUCGACAGGUCUGGGCACCAUGCCUCAUCUCCUUGGGUUCUGCAGCGCAGGACACUUAGGGAAGAUUGUCCAAAUUCUGGUCACCUCAGGUGGAGAGAAGCCAGCAGUUCUGAAGGCUGGCAGGAACUCGGCUGUCACUGCAGCUCCAGGACUGCCAACCAGUGCCUGUUCUUUCUGGCACCCACACACUUAUCACCUUUCAUGCCUAUCCCCUUGAGGUCUGUGGGGUUUAGGGCUUCCUGGGAAGUCCUUUCCUUACUGAGACCCUCCAUACUGUCUCUUCUCCAGCUUCAUGCUUAUCCACCCACUAUCUUAAUUAGGUUUCACUUCUUCAAGGUUCCACUACCUUAACAUGGACACACUAGGGACCAAGUUUCCAGUGAACAUUGGGGGACACACCAUAUCCAAACCAUAGCACCCUCUCUCUCCCUUCCUCCAUGUUGGGCCUUCAGAGUUGAGACAAGCUUAUGGUUUGGCAGACCCUGCAACCUAGGACCACAAUAGCCCUAUGGACUGCUCCUGGGCCUUUCCAAAAUAAUAUAAAAAAAAUAGUAUUGGAUUUUUACAUCUUGCUAAUGAUGUUCCCCAGAAAAGCCCUUCAGUUACCCAGUUACAAGAAUUGCAGCAGGUCAAGGCUGGAGGAUGUUCAAGAUCAACUCUAGGGUAUCUUAAAUUUUUUUUUUAAAGAGAGAGAGAGAGAGAGAGAGAGAAUUAUAUAUAUAUAUAUAUAUAUAUAUAUAUAUAUAUAUAUAUAUAUAUUUUUUUUUUUUAAGCGGAUACAACAUCUUCAUUUGUAUGUGGUGCUGAGGAUCGAACCCACGCCGCACACAUGCCAGGCAUGCUACCGCUUGAGCCACAUCCCCAGGGUAUCUUAAUUUGCCAAAGAUAAAACAGGACCAGAAUGACAGGUUCAGGGAGUUGACCAAGGUCACAAAGAUAGGGCCAGGAUGCUGUGAACUAGAACUGAGAUCUCUCUCCUCUGCUCAACUGCCCAACAAGAAGCAGAUCAAAAACAACAAACAAACAAAACACACCAUCUCUGGCUCAAAAUAACACAGGCUUGUGUAGCCAGAAAUGGCGAGCAAUAACCAGGCCUGUCUCCUGCUGGUUUCUACAAUAAGGCAGUUAUGAACUCACUAGCUGUACCUGUCACUGUGACACGUGUGCCCAUUGACUGUGUCGAAAAGGCUCUCUCUCUAAAUAAAUGGAUAAAAACGUGGAUGCUAAUUGAAGAUUAGCAUCAUCUCCCAUCAAUGUUAAUACGCUUUUUGGUUAUUUGCAAUUCCCUUUUGUAAAUCUGAGGGAAACAUCAUUGCCCAAAUUAGCUCUUUUGCUCAAUAAAGGCCAUAUUAGCAUUCUGAGAUUUGCAAUUGCUGUUUGUUUAGAGACAGGUCAGAUGAGAAGUUGGGCAGCCUGCAGGUUGAUUUUCAUUACACUGAACACAGGUAGAGAGGGGGAAGACUCGAGUCCCCAGGCCAGGCACUCCCCUCUCACAAUACUGAGCCAUAUAGCAAUUGGGGGAGUUUCAAUUACCUCCAUGGUGUCAUCCCUGAAGGACUGGCUCCAUUGCAUGAAAAUGACUCAGAUGUCUUUUUUCUGCCUUGAAUUCUGUCCCUGUCCUCCCAGUGGCUUCCUCUUAAACUGAAGCCGACUUCAUCCUUCAGUCUCUCUAUGCCAUGCUUUCUUUAUGGCAUGUCUCAGCAUUGUGAAGGCUCUCUAGUAUUUGACUGGCUCCCUCGUGGAACCCAAGUUCCCUGACCACUCAAUCACACAGCUCCAGCCCCAGUACUGACAUCAAAGGUGCUCAGUAUUUCUUGAAGGAAUGAUGGCAGACAGGAAGAAAAGUCAGGGCUGAGUCUUGGUCUAAGAGGGAAAGCUAGGUGGGGAGGGGGUGUUGCACUCUGAUCCCAAAUCUUUUCUCAGAGCCCUACUGUGAAGAAAAGACCAGUUUUUGAAAAUAGACUUCCUAACUUCUUUCAUCACUAGCAGGAUCAUCUGGGGCUGAUGGUUUAACCUCCCAGAGCCCCGUUUUCUAACCUGUAAACGGGUGAGAAGGAUACCAAUUAGGUUAAAUGUCUGCUCCUUAGUAAGCCCAAGAUCAAAGGAUGGUCAUCUUUCCGGGACCACCACCAACCCCUAAUCACACUCUGGAAAAUCAGGUCUCCAGAGUGGACACCCUCUCUCUUCCCCUUGGCUUUUUAAGCACAGGUUCUGAUCCCCAGAACCAGGGGAAAACUGAAGGAGCGCCCUAACGAGGCCACCCCCCACAUGAUUCCUCAGCCUCAGUACUGACCGGUCCCUCCCCCGCCCCUUCCGGCUCACGGGUGCCCCCCCCCCUAAGGUCACAGGUCAAGGGUCUCCGCGAGGGCACGGCUCGAUCAGUGUGAGCAAUCUUUUUCCAGGUGCUGGAAAUGGGGACUUCACGGGCACCAUGGCCCCUACCACCAAAAACGUCCUGGCAUUUCGCACACUGCUCUGCAGACCUGAGGGCCACGGUGUUGUGGCGUUGUCCCACACAGCAGUCGCAGAAGAGCCCAGGUCUGAGUCCUCCGCGCCUGGCCAACCCGCACAGAACGAGCUCACCAACGGCUCGCGCCACGUGACUGCUUCUGCCUGUCAGCACUGCUAGCGAGGCGAGCGCAGAGGUCGGGCGGGAGGAGGGCCAAUUUCCCAUACUCCCCUCAUUUGCAUACACGAUAUAAGGAUGUUAGGUAAACAAUUAGUUUUAACUUGCCUUAAACACAAAGAACAUUUUUUAAGACAGCAAUAUAGGAGGCUGUAAUUUCCAAAAUAUUUUGGGCUUUGAAAAAGAGUCAUACUCUUGUUCACCGUAACUGUAAAAGCUUUCAGAUUGUGAACCGUAUAUAGCUUCUGGGGAACCCCUACAAACGUGCUCGCUUCGGCAGCACAUAUACUAAAAUUGGAACGAUACAGAGAAGAUUAGCAUGGCCCCUGCGCAAGGAUGACACGCAAAUUCGUGAAGCGUUCCAUAUUUUUCUACCCCAGGUCCACUCCUGUUCAGUUCACACCCUAAUGUAUACAACUCUUUUUGCCUACGGGUCUGUUUUAUUGUUUGACCCGAGGUAAAAUAUAGUAAUCCCAGGAGACUGAAUGAAAAGAGGUGGUACCUAAACAGAUUAAUUACUACAAUGCCUUCUGGCUUUUGGCUCCAAUUUUUUUCUUACGGUCUUCUUUCAGCUUCCCUCUGCACUCUACUGAAUGUUGCUGCACCUUACAUUUAAGAACAGGUCUUGAAAAAUUGGCCCAUUUUAGGUCAGAAACACAACAGGACCUUGUGUAAAGAUAAACAGACGAAAUAACACUGACCGACUCCUCUGAAUCUUUAAAAUAAUAACAACCACCACUUAUUUUUUCAGUAUUCACCAUGAUACUUAUUCAGUAUCACCAAUUCUCACCUUCAUAUUCCUGAUAUUUCUGUCCACUGUGCAUCACUGUCCCCAUUUUACAGGGGACAGGGAUGUAAAGCAACCUGGGCAAGACCGUGUAACCAAGUGGCUAC